AUGCCCGUAGUUCAGUCCAGUAGAACGCCGGUCUCCAAAACCGGGGGUCGCCGGAGCGAAGCCGGCCGGGUAUG
rnacentral:tRNA from 1 species